rnacentral:rRNA from 1 species
UACGAAGGGGGCUAGCGUUGCUCGGAAUCACUGGGCGUAAAGGGUGCGUAGGCGGGUCUUAAGUCAGGGGUGAAAUCCUGGAGCUCAACUCCAGAACUGCCUUUGAUACUGAAGAUCUUGAGUUCGGGAGAGGUGAGUGGAACUGCGAGUGUAGAGGUGAAAUUCGUAGAUAUUCGCAAGAACACCAGUGGCGAAGGCGGCUCACUGGCCCGACACUGACGCUGAGGCACGAAAGCGUGGGGAGCAAACAGG